CCAUGUCACAGAAGCCCCUGCAAAACUAAGUUACCUGUUGCAGCCCUGACGCCUGAGGCUCAGGCUUCAGACAAGGCUCACAAGUGAAAAACAGGCCCAAGUAUCACACUGAAAU